rnacentral:lncRNA from 1 species
GGCCACGUGAGCAGCUGAGCACCAGCCAGGGUUGGGGAGGUGUCUGAGGGUGACCCGAAUGGAGUCUCAUGAGAUGAACUGCUGAGUGGGAGGCAGCAGUGGUGACGUUUCUCACCUUAACCGUGGGGCUCUCACUGAUUAUCCAGGCAGGGAUUACAGUGUCCUCUGUGCAUAAGAGGCCAGCUCCAGAGGAAACUGAAAACCCAGCGAAGAAGGUGAUGGUGACUCCUUCUAGGUGGGAUGACAUGGGGAAGGAGGCGGCCAGCAAGAGCAGCACACCCUCCUGGGCCCGCGACCACAAGGCCAGCGCAAUGUUGCCAGAGAAGACUGCUGCUCCCUCCCCACCACAUUGGGCCCCGAAGGACCACAAGAGAGUGGACAGAGCAGUGGGUGCAGCCUCAGGCCCAGAGAACACAGCACUCCCAGGCUCCUCAGCAUGCAGACAACCUCCAUCCAGAAGUCUCCUUCCAAAGAAGCCUCAUCCUUUUGCUAACAUCCCAGGAGCCAAUCCAGCUAUUAAAAAGUCACCUUCGGGCUUCAGGGGCCCCAUCCCCAAGAGGCCUUGGCUCUGGGAGGCCCCAGCAGGCAUCUCAGCUGCCAGGCAGGAGGGACCAAAGCCAUUUCCUCUGGCAAGGAGUCCAAACAGCCGCCGUGUUCUGCAGUUCUGCCUGGAGCUGAGAGGAGCCCUGGGGUGACUUCAGUCCCCACAGCUUCUGCAGCCCCUGGACUCCUCAAGGCGGCGAGUCCUGCCCUGUCACAGCCAGAGUCCCAAAUUCACCCAAAUACAAGGUGCUCCUUGGAGGAGAUUCUGUGGAAAGCGUGGGCCGUUCUCCUAUGAUGUGCUGUGUGGAGGGGGCGCCUUCCACCCACAGUGCACUUCACGACUGUCCUGCUCUUUGCAAACCCCAACAACUGCACAUGCAGACUGUUGGUCUGGCCCCUUUUCUGUUCUGUCCAGAGUCUGUGAAAGUGGUGACUGAGGCCUGACUGAAAGCAAGGCCGGAAGAGCUGCCCUCCACCUUGAGAAGAUGUUUAGCUUGUGCCGAGUUACAGAUAUUCACCACAGGAGGAAGUGCCGCAGCAUCACUUUCCACCUUGAGGAUCCCGGACAUCAGGUGUGUGCGUCAGGCCGGAGUGGACCUGAUGCAGCAGCAAUGAGCACCUGGUCUCAGCCAGCUGAGGUUCACACAAUACGCCCAACACCCAUGGGAGACAUUUGUGUCCUCCCAUUCAGGAUCCUUUGCUCUCCUCCUCCCUGGGUUUCCUGUGGAUCUCGUUGGCACCUGCACCUCUUGAGUAGAUCAGACCAAACAGUGCUGAAAUCCCAUGUCUGCCACUGGCUGGCUUCUCCCUAAAGUUGGACCUCUGUAUCCCAGUGUGGAGAAGGUCCGUUUUCCAGCUCCAGACCACCUUUCCUGCUCAUUUUCUUACUGUCCUCCAGCUGAGGCUUCUGUCCCAUGCUGUGGGCCACACCUUACAGUUCUCAGCCUCAGCUUGGAGGGUGGAAGGGAUGAGCCCCCAACCUGGCCUGGCCCGGCCCUCACACCUCCUGCCUUGGGCUAUUUUCUAGGGUACUCUCCAUCAGCUCUGGUCCUGCCCAAUGUUUUAUUUAUGUAUCUUUUGAAAGCCAUAAGACUAAUUAUAGUGAAACAGUCUCAUAAUGUUCCAUGCUGUACAUUUCAACAAACAUGAGCCAAACACAGCAAGACAUAAAUCCAAGUUUGGGUGUGUUCUCAAAAUAAAA